rnacentral:lncRNA from 1 species
UGGCCAUCAUGUUGAGAUUUUAUGUUUUAAAUAUUUCUGAAUUAAUCAUUGAUUAUAUUUUUAUCAACUUUAUAUAUCCACAAUCAAAUUGUUUUGAUGAUUGUAUUCAUCUAAGAUUUAUAUAUUGUAAAAGAGAUAGUUCAUUUAUUUAUGUAUUCAUGGAUUUUGAUAUUUUAAUUUAGAGAAUCUAUAAUCAUAAUUAGUAUUACGAAUGUAUCAUAGAAUGUUUUAGAAAACAAAAAAAAGUAACUAUUAUAUAAUGAAAUUCAUGUGAGUGGUGUGUUAUAACAUUAAGAUUCAAAAAAAAUAUCUUUUAAAACUAUAUGAAAUAUCCAAAGUAAUUGAAUAAUCUCUAAUUAUAUGACAAUAAAUGAAAGAUUAAGAAAAAAUUUAAAGUAAAUUUAAAUCUUAAAAUAUGUUUAUGCAAAAAAAAAUCAUAAUUUAAAAAAAAAAAAAAUGAUGUUAUUAUCAUCACAAUUUUGGAUAUUAUCACCAUAACCUACCAACUACCACAUGUCACCACAAUCUUUACUACUACCAAGAAAACCAACCAUCCAACUACCAUAUUUCUCUAGUUUUUUAAUUUUGUAUUAUUUUUCUUUUUAUUUCAAUCGUUUUUAUUUUUUGUUAAUAUCUUCAAUGUUUUUUUUCUUUUCAAAUUAUAUAUAUAUAUAUAUAUAUAUAUAUAUAUAUAAUAAUUAAUAGAAAAUAAUUUAAAAGUUGAUAAAAAUAAAAUUGGGGUGACAAUAACAAAAAUUGUGAUGAAAUGUAGUGGAUAGUAUAUUGUGGUGGCAAUAGCAAAAACUAUAGUGGCAUCUGCAACACCCCAAAAAAACCUAA